rnacentral:rRNA from 1 species
GCUGGCGGCACGCCUAAUACAUGCAAGUCGAACGGAGUAGCAAUACUUAGUGGCAGACGGGUGAGUAACAUGUGGGUAUCUUCCCUUUGGUGAGGAAUAACACGAGGAAACUUGUGCUAAUACCUCAUAAGUCUUUACGGAGAAAGCUUUAUGCGCCGAUGGAUGAGCCCGCACUUGAUUAGUUUGUUGGUAGGGUAAUGGCCUACCAAGACUGUGAUCAAUAGCUGAUUUGAGAGGAUGAUCAGCCACAUUGGGACUGAGACACGGCCCAAACUCCUACGGGAGGCAGCAGUAGGGAAUCUUGCACAAUGGAGGAAACUCUGAUGCAGCGAUGCCGCGUGAGUGAAGAAGGCCCUUGGGUUGUAAAGCUCUUUCGUCGGGGAAGAAAAUGACUGUACCCGAAUAAGAAGGUCCGGCUAACUUCGUGCCAGCAGCCGCGGUAAUACGAAGGGACCUAGCGUAGUUCGGAAUUACUGGGCUUAAAGAGUUCGUAGGUGGUUAAAAAAGUUGGUGGUGAAAUCCCAGAGCUUAACUCUGGAACUGCCAUCAAAACUUUUUAGCUAGAGUUUGAUAGAGGAAAGCAGAAUUUCUAGUGUAGAGGUGAAAUUCGUAGAUAUUAGAAAGAAUACCAAUUGCGAAGGCAGCUUUCUGGAUCAUUACUGACACUGAGGAACGAAAGCAUGGGUAGCGAAGAGGAUUAGAUACCCUCGUAGUCCAUGCCGUAAACGAUGUGUGUUAGAUGUUGGAAAUUUAUUUUCAGUAUCACAGCGAAAGCAAUAAACACACCGCCUGGGGAGUACGACC